CUUCUGCCUAUGCUUUCAGAUUUGUUGGUGAGUGGCUGAACUGGCUGUACACUGAUGUGACCCAAAGAUUGCAAGCCAAUGAUUUCUCCACGUUAUCUGAGGCUCAUGCAUGUACUGCAGGGUUAAAGUCUCUUACUACUACUGCAACUGCGGUAUGUCGCUGUUACUAAUCUUCACCCCUCUUCCUUCUCCUAAAUAUAUUGAUUAUUUUUCCACUCUGUCAAAGAUUUCUGUAGCUAAUAUAUUUUGGUUGGCCAGUUAUUUUGUAUUAUGUUGCUUCUAUCAGCAUUUUGAUGGCAUAAAUGAUCUCUCUUAACUAUUAAAAAUUUUGGCAUCCAUCACAAAAUAACAUAACACCUUAAUUUUUUGCAGGAUGCUAUUGAAGAAUGCCGAAAAUUAUGUGGUGGCCAUGGUUACCUUUCUAG
rnacentral:lncRNA from 1 species